rnacentral:lncRNA from 10 species
ACUUUAUUGAUAAUUUUUCCAAAACUGCAUCCUUCUAUAUAUUCUCACCUAGUCAAUCAUCCAGGUUAGAAUGGUAUAAUUGAGGAGGGCAACAUAAUUCAGACCCAAAAUGGUCAAAACUUAACAAUGGACGCUUAUGCUAACGACUGCUAAAACAAAAACCAUGCAAGAGCCAGCAGGGAUUCUGGGUUGAUAUUAUUGGCUGGUGUGCUAAGUUGGAACUGCAACCUGUUAUGAUGGUCUUUGUUCAUCUUGAGAAAGUACUAAUUGAGUAUGUAUCUCUAAGUGGAAGGAUUUAGGUACAAUAUCUAGCAAAGAAGAAACACUGGAGCAGGUGAUAACAGUUGGGAAGUGAUGGUGACAAAGGGUCCACCAAGUUGUCUCAUCUCAUUUCAAAGGAUACUUGUCUUAAAUAGGAGAUCCAUCACAGAAUACUCAUUCCUUAGGCAUUUCCACUGAAGGAGGUCAAAGCACCAAGGUCUCUGGCACGCAUCUGUCUUUGAAAGAACCACACCUGUUCUGUAAUGCCUGGAACUAUCAGCACCACCGCCUCUUCUGUGGAACAGUCAAGAUGCUGACCUUUAGCACUUCCUGCUCUCAGACCUGUCUGCCAGUUCAAGGCUUCCAACAAUCAUUAAGAAGUUCCUUCCCUAGCCCCCCAUCAAAAGCUGCUUAACCCAACCCUACAGUUGUUUGGUUAUCAUUGAAGCCCACCCCACUUACUACCAGCCAUUGUUUCUCCUUCCAGCCACUGAUUGCCAGGAAGGAAGAGCAGCCAGGUGCAGAAAGAGCAGAAGGUGGGCUCCAAGCUCCCUAAUUUACUGCAUCCAUUGCCCAGCCCACUUUAAUCACUAUGGUGUAGGUCAGUCGCCCAGCGACUCCCCAGUCACAAUCGAUCAGACAGCACUAAGGUGUAAUGCCAAUUUCUUUGUGUGUGGCAUUUUUCACCACUAUGGACAUUGUCCCCAGCCAGCUUUUUGCUGCAGCAAUACUGGAGAUGGCAAAACAUUGAGACUCAGAGGCUGUCAGCAAGAAGCACAUACGUCUGUCUUCCACGUCUGCUUGCCACGUGGGCUUGGCUGCAAGUCGGUUCCACAUCCACAUUCUAGAGUCCAGCUGAGAACACAAUCAGCUGGGUGGGGAGGAGACGAAGAGGCUGAGCCCGAAAGCACAUUUAAUUUGUUUGGAUCCAGUGUGUGUCCAUUCUGCUCACACAGGAUUGGCCAAAGCAAGUCACACAAACAAGCCUCAGGAAACUCUUUGAGGAAGGCUGCUCCUUCCAUGCGUGUGGGAAGCCAAGAGCAAAUAUCUGCUGGCUGAUACAAUCCACUGCAGGCCUCUCUAGCUGUGAAAUAGUUGCCUUCUAUAAAGCAAUGGAGACCUGAAAUAACAGAUGGCAAAAUAAAGGCAUCUGGAUGAGAAUGAUUGUUUUCUUGAAGGUGUUGUCAAUGAAUAUGAGAAGCCCCACAAGGCAGGACUCUGAAUCUGUUACUUGACAUCAUAACUCAUCACCUAAGCAUUGAUUCAUUCCCUUCUGUUUUAGGGUAUCAAGUUACCAUGGUAUGCAUGGCUUCCUAUUAGGCAUUUAGGAGUGGGAGAGGAGGAAUGAAAAGACUGAGGCCACAGGCAUGCCGCCCUCGUGGAGCACCACUGGUGGAGUCCGGUCACGGGCCUGCAGCCACUGUGUGCUUCUGCAGAACUGUCACUGCAGUCAUCGUGUGUAAGCAGUGCACCUGUGAGCAUGACUGCCGAUGACAACUUACAAAGGCAGCUGUGCAGAUGCUAAUCGCAAACUGAAAGUGCUAAAGCCGUGCAGUAAUAAAGAGCAUGGAUUUGUGUCAGGCACACCUGGACUCAUGCCCCAGCUUCCUGCUGUGUGGCCUAGGGCAACCUCCUCCGUGUUUCUAGGCCUCACUUAAUUCAUCUGUAAAAUAGGUUUGCUUUAGUUAUUAUGAGAGAUAGCACCUAUGAAACAUGCUGGACAUGGCACAUGGUCAUGCACAGAGCGGAUUUGCAGCAGCAUUUAGCACAGGGGGAGCAGCAGGAGCAACGCCCGCAAGAGUGUGAGGGCAGCUGCAGCGGUGCCCGCAGGUCAGGAGGUGCGUCCUUUGUGGGGGCAUCAUGAGAAACAUGUUGGCUGGAAGAGUGGGUGAGACACAGAACUCACCUCACACGAGUUUCCUAGUAGAAGAAAUGCAUAUGGAAACCUAAAUUUCAAUUUCAUAACCUGUAAAUAUGAGACCAUGGUUUCCAAAGAGGACUAAAAAUUAGAAUUUGUAUGUAAAUUAAAAUAUAAUUUUCUAUAGGAGUCCGGAAUAGCAAAAUUAAUAGACAUAUUCCACUUAUUAAGAGAAGACAGACCUGAUCUACUUGCCAGAUGUCACUUGCUGAAAUUAAUUACCCAGAAUAAGUAUAUACGGAGAUCUGGGCAUGUUUCUUGACCUUUGUACACAGGAUCUGCAGAAAUUGGGCUUCACCAAGGUGAUCCUUCAGAACAACUGCAUCAGAUGUUUCCUGUUUUACUGUCCCCAGAGCUGUUCAAUCAAAUAAAGCAUUAGCCAGAAAGUGAGUCUGUUUACUGUUACUAAAACUCUCAGCAACAAACCUGUUGAAAACUCAACUUUAGCCCACCAAAGCAAAACUUAUGCAUGAAUAAAGAGUAACUGCUAAGGUGGUACAAAAUUUCUGUCGAACCUGACAGCCUUUUUGCCCCUAAAACGUGCCCAUUAUUCAAUGUUGCUUGAAAUAUUAACCAUUAACUUCAC